rnacentral:lncRNA from 1 species
AUUCCCUUAGCUCUCCAUUCUGGUUAGCUAAUGGAAACGUGACUGUAAUCAUCAACUCCAUUUAUCUUUUGGAUAGAGAUUUCCAAAAGAAAUUAGAUGGAUGUGUUUUCAGUUAAAGCUGUCUUUUCAGAAGGCUGGACAGUAAAGCGUCACUGAAAAUAAAACAAAUACUGACAACAAAACACUCUUUGCUUGAUAUAGUGUUCUUUAGUGCCUCUAGGCAAGUGUGAAUAGUAUUAGCACACCCAGUGCUCUGCAUACUCAAGGGUGGGG